rnacentral:rRNA from 1 species
AGUGUAGCGGUGAAAUGCGUAGAUAUUGGGAGGAACACCAGUGGCGAAAGCGAAUUUCUGGGCUGUUACUGACGCUGAGGUACGAAAGUGUGGGGAGCAAACAGGAUUAGAUACCCUGGUAGUCCACACGGUAAACGAUGGAUACUAGGUGUAACCGGCUUCGACCCCGGUUGUGCCGCAGCUAACGCAUUAAGUAUCCCGCCUGGGGAGUAUGGCCGCAAGGUUGAAACUCAAAGGAAUUGACGGGGGCCCGCACAAGCGGUGGAGGAUGUGGUUUAAUUCGACGCAACGCGAAGAACCUUACCAAGACUUGACAUCCACAGAAUCUGGUGGAAAUAUCAGAGUGUCCGCAAGGAAACUGUGAGACAGGUGGUGCAUGGCUGUCGUCAGCUCGUGUCGUGAGAUGUUGGGUUAAGUCCCGCAACGAGCGCAACCCUCGAUGCUAGUUACCAUCAUUAAGUUGGGGACUCUAGCGUGACUGCCGGAGCUAAUCCGGAGGAAGGUGAGGACGACGUCAAGUCAUCAUGCCCCUUACGUCUUGGGCUACACACGUCCUACAAUGGUAUAGACAAAGAGCUGCAAGCUAGUGAUGGCAAGCGAAUCUCAUAAACUAUAUCUCAGUUCGGAUUGUAGGCUGCAACUCGCCUACAUGAAGUUGGAAUCGCUAGUAACCGUAGAUCAGCAUGCUACGGUGAAUACGUUCCCGGGCCUUGUACACACCGCCCGUCACAC